rnacentral:rRNA from 1 species
AGUUUGAUCCUGGCUCAGGAUAAACGCUGGCGGCAUGCCUAAUACAUGCAAGUCGAACGAGAGUGCUUGCACUCUAGUGGCGAACGGGUGAGGAACACGUAAGGAACUUGCCCCAAAGNCGAGGAUAACCAUUGGAAACGAUGGCUAAUACUGGAUAGGAUAUAGAUUCGCAUGAACCUAUAUUUAAAGGUGCGUUUGCACCACUUUGGGAGAGCCUUGCGCAGCAUUAGCUAGUUGGUAGGGUAACGGCCUACCAAGGCAACGAUGCUUAGCUGGACUGAGAGGUUGAACAGCCACACUGGGACUGAGACACGGCCCAGACUCCUAUGGGAGGCAGCAGUAGGGAAUUUUCGGCAAUGGGCGAAAGCCUGACCGAGCAAUGCCGCGUGAACGAUGAAGGCCUUCGGGUCGUAAAGUUCUGUUGUAAAGGAAGAAUGAUCAGAGGAGGAAAUGCCUUUGAUUUGACGGUA